UACGUGGGGGGCAAGCGUUGUUCGGAAUUACUGGGCGUAAAGGGCGCGUAGGCGGCCUGCUAAGUCGGACGUGAAAUCCCUCGGCUCAACCGAGGAACUGCGUUCGAUACUGGUGGGCUUGAAUCCGGGAGAGGGAUGUAGAAUUCCAGGUGUAGCGGUGAAAUGCGUAGAUAUCAGGAGGAACACCUGCGGCGUAGGCGGCUUACUGGACCAUAACUGACGCUGAGGCACGAAAGCGUGGGUAGCAAACAGG
rnacentral:rRNA from 1 species